rnacentral:rRNA from 1 species
GAUCCUGGCUCAGAUUGAACGCUGGCGGCAGGCCUAACACAUGCAAGUCGAACGGUAACAGGAAGCAGCUUGCUGCUUCGCUGACGAGUGGCGGACGGGUGAGUAAUGUCUGGGAAGCUGCCUGAUGGAGGGGGAUAACUACUGGAAACGGUAGCUAAUACCGCAUAAUGUCGCAAGACCAAAGAGGGGGACCGUUCGGGCCGUCUUGCCAUCGGAUGUGCCCACGAUGGGAUUAG